GCUAAAUGGCAGACAUCGCCAACAGCACAUCUGCAGGAGUCCCAGCACACCACACACCGAGGUUCUUCAAAGUCCUGACACAAAUCUCGGAUUGUGGAAGGUAGAAAUCCACACAAAUGUGAAGAAUGCAGAACGUGAUCACUCUGAGUUGGGUCCUGGCUGAAAAAUGCAUUGGAAAAGACCAAUGCUCCACCACUUACUGCAGAGGCAGAGAAAAGGCACACAUGCAAGGAGCCAUCUCCAUUCCACAGUGCACAUUAUCAGUUACAGCAGUGGUGACAGGAGACACACAGCCCUUUGUAUUUGCACAGGAUUUUUGGCGAUCAGCAGCACUAAAGACCCACAGUAGACUUCAGUGAAGUCAGGGCAUGGAAAGGCAAGGGAUUCCGAAAGAUGGCUGUCCACUGCAUAGGAAAGAAGAGCAUCCCAGAGAGCUAAGAAAAGCCAGGAGUUUGAAUAGAAGAAGCCGUGGAGAGGCUGGAGACACAGGAACUGCCAGUAAUCCAAGCAGAAGGCCUUUAACUUCAGCAUUUUCAAAGAACUGUACUGCAGCAAGCGGAUCCUGCAGCUAGAUUUUAACACCACGAGUCUUCUUUUUGUUUUGAUGUGAAUGACUUCAACCCAACGCAAUGCACCGCUCCCCUUAUUGCUGCUCACAAGCGUUUCUAAGUGCUGGCGGUGCGGCAGCCGGCGCACAUGGCACAGCACCUGCACGGCACAGCACCCACUUCGAUACAAAGAGGCAGCGCACAAAGGCUACGGCUCGCAGACGCUCUUUGAUCCCCACUGCAGUUUAUCUUCCCCAAAGUGUCCGAUGCCACCGGCUAGCUGCUGUUACACACAAAUCCCGCUUCUCCUUUUGGCUAUUUUAGGCCACUCGGAUGGCCCUCCGGACAAAUAACGCGUCUGCGUUCCAGCUAAGGCUGCAAAAGGAUCUUUGCAAAGCAUCCUGAGAGCUUGCAGAACUUAUGAGAAGACAAGCAAUUAUCUCAAUCAACCUCACAACUGCCUGUAAUCACAGCAGCGCUAUGAUCCCAUCACACGGGAACGGCAGUCCCCCCGCUCCUUUUUUUGUUGUUGUUGUUGUUGGUCAAAUAAAGCAGCACACAACUCCGCA